rnacentral:piRNA from 1 species
UGCUAAUAAAGAUUAGUGAGUGAGCCCUGCC